rnacentral:rRNA from 1 species
UAGGGAAUAUUGGACAAUGGGGGCAACCCUGAUCCAGCAAUGCCGCGUGAGUGAAGAAGGCCUUCGGGUUGUAAAGCUCUUUUGUCAGGGAAGAAACGGUAGUAGCGAAUAACUACUACUAAUGACGGUACCUGAAGAAUAAGCACCGGCUAACUACGUGCCAGCAGCCGCGGUAAUACGUAGGGUGCAAGCGUUAAUCGGAAUUACUGGGCGUAAAGCGUGCGCAGGCGGUUGUGUAAGUCAGAUGUGAAAUCCCCGGGCUCAACCUGGGAAUUGCAUUUGAGACUGCACGGCUAGAGUGUGUCAGAGGGGGGUAGAAUUCCACGUGUAGCAGUGAAAUGCGUAGAUAUGUGGAGGAAUACCGAUGGCGAAGGCAGCCCCCUGGGAUAACACUGACGCUCAUGCACGAAAGCGUGGGGAGCAAACAGGAUUAGAUACCCGAGUAGUCCCUGAGCGGGCUGGCAAGGCGCAU